rnacentral:rRNA from 1 species
UACGAAGGGGGCUAGCGUUGCUCGGAAUCACUGGGCGUAAAGCGCACGUAGGCGGAUCGUUAAGUCAGGGGUGAAAUCCUGGAGCUCAACUCCAGAACUGCCUUUGAUACUGGCGAUCUUGAGUUCGGGAGAGGUGAGUGGAACUGCGAGUGUAGAGGUGAAAUUCGUAGAUAUUCGCAAGAACACCAGUGGCGAAGGCGGACUCACUGGCCCGAUACUGACGCUGAGGCACGAAAGCGUG